rnacentral:misc_RNA from 1 species
UCCAGCAGCCGCGGUAAUACGUUCCCGGGUCUUGUACACACCGCCCGUCACACCACGAGAGUUUACAACACCCGAAGCCGGUGGGGUAACCCGCAAGGGAGCUAGCCGUCGAAGGUGGGGUAGAUGAUUGGGGUGAAGUCGUAACAAGGUAGCCGUAUCGGAAGGUGCGGCUGGAUCACCUCCUUUCUAAGGAAAUACCCAACUACGAUGAUAGUUGGAUACUCAGGCAGAUUUUAUUGCUCACUCGUUGUCAGUUUUGAAAGAACAACCGACCCCCAAAAAGUGAAGAAAAGCGUUGCAGCUAUUCCGAUUACUUUUCGGGGACCCCGGAAACAUUCUUUCAAACAAAAUCCGUUUGGUGGCGAUGGCGGAGGGGAACCACGCGUUCCCAUACCGAACACGACCGUUAAGCCCUCCAACGCCAAUGGUACUUAGACCGCAGGGUCUUGGGAGAGUAGGACGUCGCCAAGCGGGUGUCAUGUUACACCUUCGCAGCAGCCGCAAGGCUCAGCUGUGAUUUACUUUGCACCUUGAAAACUGGAUAACGAAAGAAAAGAAUUGCUGAAACAUCCUUUAGCUGUUUUAUUGUUAGCGAAAGUUGUUUCGAGUUGAAGACGGCUUUUGGAACUUUAUUUCCACCUCUAAGCGAUUAUUGGAGAAAUAAAGUUACAACGACGGCUNCACCGAAAUCAACUGUAGCGCAGGUUAAGCUAUUAAGAGCGCACGGAGGAUACCUAGGCACACAGAGA